AGUGGUAUGAGUGAUCCUUUGACCUACGGUGAUAUUGGCUAUUUGCAGCGAGACUACUGAGUUUGACUGUACAUUUUUUUGGUCCCUAACCAUUAGGAUCCUUGCUGUGUAAGUUGGCUUCAGUAGGUUCAGAUUUGCUGUUUGGAGUAAGAUGCACCUAGAUAGAAUUUAUCGAUCUUGGUAGAAAAGAAGAAGUUCUAUAUGAUUUGCAAG
rnacentral:lncRNA from 1 species